AUGCCCAUUUUCCAAAGAAGAUGCGCAAACGGCCGAACAGCACCUGAGAGGCUGCUCCUCGCGUUUGUCGUCCGGGAAACGCAAGUGACAGCCACGGUGAGACGCAGCUGCCCGGCCCCCAGGACUGCUGGAUCCGAAAGGCGGAUGAGAGCAGGUGUUGGUGAAAAUGCGGCAAAAACAAGUUCACGCGUGCUUUGCUGCUGGGGGCAUAAACUGGAGGGGACCGCGCUGACCGUGAGGUCCCCGUAUGACCGGGGUUCCCCUCUGGUGUACGCCUUAGAGAAUUGGAAACCAGUGUCCACACAGGAGUUUCUGUGUGAAUGGUCCCCCAGGUGUUAUUCAUCACAGCCAGAGAGGGAGGGCAUGCAGCUGACCAGGCGGCCACCGUCCAGCCCAGGUGGCCACCGUCCAGCCAGGAGGCCAUCGGUCCAGCCAGGUGGCCAUUGGUCCAGCCAAGGCGGCCAUCGGUCCAGCCCAGGCACCCUCCGUCCAGCCAGGAGGCCAUCGGUCCAGCCCAGGCGGCCACCAUCCAGCCCAGGCGGCCACCGUCCAGCCAGGAGGCCAUCAGUCCAGCCAGGCAGCCAUCGGUCCAGCCCAGGCAGCCAUCGGUCCAGCCCAGGCGGCCAUCGGUCCAGCCCAGGCAGCCAUCCAGCCAGCCAGAUGGCCAUCAGUCCAGCCCAGGCGACUAUCGGUCCAGCCCAGGCACCCUCCAUCCAGCCUAGGCACCCUCCAUCCAGCCAGGCGGCCAUCAGUCCAGCCCAGGCGCCCUCCGUCCAGCCUAGGUGCCCUCCGUCCAGUCAGGCAGCCAUCGGUCCAGCCAGGCGGCCAUCGGUCCAGCCCUGGCAGCCAUCCAGCCAGCCAGACAGCCAUCAGUCCAGCCCAGGCGGCCAUUGGUCCAGCCCAGGUGCCCUCCGUCCUGCACCGAUGAGCGCACAGUGGGAUCUCAGGCAUACAACGAAGGAAACACUGAUCUAUGCUUCCACGUGCAUGACGCUUGAAUGCGGAAUUCUACAUGAAAGGUCAGCCUCAGGGUUCUCCUGGAUGGUCUUUAUUUUGCGAAGUGUCCAGGAUAGGCAAAGCCGGGGAGGUCAGGGUGAGCCGCGGUCCCCGGCAUCCGGGGAGAAGGCGGGCAGGCAGGAAGCUGAUGGGUGCAGGGCUCUGGGGGUUGAAACCGCCCUGGAGUCGGGGCGAUGGUCGCACACCCGUGAAUAUCUGAAAAGCUGCAAAUCUAGACUUUACGGCGUGUGA
rnacentral:lncRNA from 1 species